rnacentral:snRNA from 1 species
GUGCUUGGUUUGGUAGUACAUACACUAAAAAUUGGAAUGAUACAGAGAAGAUUAGCAUAGCCCCUGUGUGAGGAUGAUACAAAACUGUGAAGUGUUCCAAUACAAA